UACGUAGGGAGCAAGCGUUGUCCGGAAUCAUUGGGCGUAAAGCGCGCGUAGGUGGCUUCGUAAGUCCGUUGUGAAAGUCAAAGGCUCAACCUUUGAAAGCCGAUGGAUACUGCGGAGCUAGAGUACGGAAGAGGCGAGUGGAAUUCCUGGUGUAGCGGUGAAAUGCGCAGAUAUCAGGAGGAACACCGAUGGCGAAGGCAGCUCGCUGGGACGGUACUGACGCUGAGACGCGAAAGCGUGGGGAGCAAACAGG
rnacentral:rRNA from 1 species